GAUGAAGAACGCAGCGAACUGCGAUAAGUAAUGUGAAUUGCAGAAUUCAGUGAAUCAUCGAGUCUUUGAACGCACAUUGCGCCCCCUGGCAUUCCGGGGGGCAUGCCUGUCCGAGCGUCAUUGCUGCCCUUCAAGCCCGGCUUGUGGGUUGGGUCGUCGUCCCCCCCGGGGGACGGGCCCGAAAGGCAGCGGCGGCACCGCGUCCGGUCCUCGAGCGUAUGGGGCUUUGUCACCCGCUCGAUUAGGGCCGGCCGGGCGCCAGCCGGCGUCUCCAACCUUCUAUUUUACCAGGUUGACCUCGGAUCAGGUAGGGAUACCCGCUGAACUUAAGCAUAUCAAUAAGCGGAGGA
rnacentral:misc_RNA from 1 species